rnacentral:rRNA from 1 species
AACGAACGCUGGCGGCGUGCCUAACACAUGCAAGUCGAGCGCGAAAGUCCCUUCGGGGGCAAGUAGAGCGGCGGACGGGUGAGUAACGCGUAAGUAAUCUACCCUGGCAUCUGGAAUAACUCACCGAAAGGUGUGCUAAUACCGGAUACGCUGAUUUAUCAGGAAAGGUGGCCUCUUCAUGAAAGCUACUGUGCCGGGAGGAGCUUGCGUACCAUUAGCUAGUUGGUGGGGUAAUGGCCUACCAAGGCGACGAUGGUUAGCGGGUCUGAGAGGAUGAUCCGCCACACUGGAACUGGAACACGGACCAGACUCCUACGGGAGGCUG